rnacentral:misc_RNA from 1 species
GGAUGAAGAACGUAGCGAAAUGCGAUAAGUAAUGUGAAUUGCAGAAUUCAGUGAAUCAUCGAAUCUUUGAACGCACAUUGCGCCCGCCAGUAUUCUGGCGGGCAUGCCUGUUCGAGCGUCAUUUCAACCAUCAAGCCCCCGGGCUUGUGUUGGGGACCUGCGGCUGCCGCAGGCCCUGAAAAGCAGUGGCGGGCUCGCUGUCACACCGAGCGUAGUAGAUUUUAUCUCGCUCUGGGCGUGCUGCGGGUUCCGGCCGUUAAACCACCCUUUUAACCCAAGGUUGACCUCGGAUCAGGUAGGAAGACCCGCUGAACUUAAGCAUAUCAAUAAGCGGAGGA